GCAUAGUUGAAUUGCCACUUGCAAAAUCUUCACAUUGAUGUCUAUGCAAUGAAGGAUAUUAUGAAUUGUGAAUCCAGUCGGGCAUGGGAAAGAGAGUGACCUUGAGGAUUGCCUCUUUCCUGCCAGCAAGAUAAUUUCAUCAGCUCCUUUCUCAUCUGAAGGAGAAUCUCAUGCUGAUCAAAAUCUUCUCAAAGUCCUCAGCUCCUCCUACCCCACAGGAAUGCUCCUAUUUGACCAGGUGCUCAAAUCAAUUUGUCUUUGCUGAAACCUCCAGGGGAAAUGUUCUAUACUGGGUCACUUUCUUGAUGCCUGAGAUUUAUUCAAAUGGAUGACACGGAUUCAGUAUUUCUGAAAGUGAGACUUGUGUUUUGGCCAUAGUUGCAGUGGAUUUGAGCUGUUCAUUUUCUCUCGAGUGGUUUCCUUGAGUUCCUUCUGGCUCAAGAAUCACUUUGAAGCUGAUGGAUGAUGUUUUUGCUUACUUAAUAAACUUUGAGCAACUAAUAUGUUUACAGAAUGGCACCAGAAUCUGUG
rnacentral:lncRNA from 1 species